rnacentral:rRNA from 1 species
CAGUCGCCACGGUAAUACGUAGGUGGCAAGCGUUGUCCGGAAUUAUUGGGCGUAAAGCGCGCGCAGGUGGUUAAGUAAGUCUGAUGUGAAAGCCCACGGCUCAACCGUGGAGGGUCAUUGGAAACUGUUAAACUUGAGUGCAGGAGAGAAAAGUGGAAUUCCUAGUGUAGCGGUGAAAUGCGUAGAGAUUAGGAGGAACACCAGUGGCGAAGGCGGCUUUUUGGCCUGUAACUGACACUGAGGCGCGAAAGCGUGGGGAGCAAACAGGAUUAGAUACCCGUGUAGUCCCUGUCUCUUAUAC